AAAUGAACGCGGAGGAUUCCUGAGGACUCGGGCUCGAGAGCGCUCUCGUUUGGAAAACCAGCCCAAGUCCCGCGCUCUCUGAAGAUUUCUCUUCUUCCUACUGAUUGUGGUGAGUGUUCAUGCCCUGACAUUUUCUUUAUUCACCCAACAGCUUUGGAUACCAGAGUUUCAGUGACUGAUGAUUAUUCUAGAUAUUUUAUAAUCUCUCUCUCUCUCUCUUUUUUUUUUGUCUUCUCUAGGGCCACACCUGUGGCACAUGGAGGUUCCUAGGGUAGGGGUCCAAUCGGAGCUGUAGCCGCUGGCCUACACCACAGCCACAGCAAUGCGGGAUCUGAGCCUCAUCUGCGAGCUACACAACAGCUCAUGGCAACCCCAGAUCCUUAACCCACUGAGCGAGGCCAGGGACCGAACCCACAACCUCAUGGUUCCUAGUCGGAUUCGUUAAUUACUGAGCCAUGACGGGAACGCCUAUAAUUUCUCAUUUAAUUCAAGUUACUUAGGAGUGCAUUCUAUUAUUAUUAUUUUUUAUGGCUGCACCUAAAACACAUGGAAGUUCCCAGGCUAGGGGUCAAAUCGGAGCUGCAGCCCCCGGCCUACGCCAGAGCCACAGCAACACGGGAUCCGAGCCAUGUCUGCAACCUACACCACAGCUCACGGCAACGCCGGAUCGUUAACCCACUGAGCAAGGGCAGGGACUGAACCCGCAACCUCAUGGUUCCUAGUCGGCUUCGUUAACCACUGCGCCACGACGGGAACUCCCCAUGGUUUUUUAAUUAGCACCACUCCCCUGGUGCCCGGACUCACUGAAGUUCAGGUUCUUUGUGUCUCAGCACAGGAGGAAUUCAUCGAGAGGCAGAGCAAUAGACAAGAAAUAGGUUUACUCAGAGAGGAUGCUUGUGAGAGAUGCAAGCGGGCAGGCAAGGGAGCUCUGUCCUGAGGGUCAGGUGGCUACGUUUUUAUAAUCCAAGGAGAGUGGGGACGGGGAAAGACUGCUUUCUUUCUCGUUCUUCAGGCCAACGCCAGGCUUUCAUCCCUAGCCCCUUCACAUCCGGCGAGAGGAUAUUUGACCCUGUGAGGUCACCCGAGGUGCUUGUGCACAUCGGCAGCAGGGUGGUGACAGGUGUGCGACAAUAUGUUGGAACCUCUCAGCUUUCCCUGUAAUGAGAGACUUCCGACUUUGGAACGUCGUCUUUCUCUUACUUUCCCGUCUUUGGUCCUAAGGACCAUUAUCUUCCUGAACUUGAAUGCGGGCUUCGUUUUUUUUCUUUCUCUCGCUUAGUGACCUGAGCCGUGUCUCGUGCGUUUCUCUAUGGUUUUAUCGUUAAGCAUGCUGCUUCGUUCCAUGCAUGUUCUGAUGGCUUUCGUGAGUGGUUAUUAACCUACUGUGGUCUCCCGAAGUUCCCUAGGUUUCCCGCUCUGUCUGUGGUCUCCUCCUGGGACUCCUACAACGACCCGUGUAACUCUCCUCCUCCAUCCCUAUCAGUGGGAAGCCCGGAUUCUAGGGAGCCCAAUGCCAACAGCCUUCCGUCAGGGCGCGCCUGGAGCCUUACCUUUUUUCUCCUAUCAAGCUUUCCCACUCCUCUGCCUACCUUUCAUUAUCUGCCAAAACUCAAGGGAUAAUGUUGCCAAAACUCAGCCUCCCCCAUCGGUGCUGAAUAGAAACACAGAGUUUUGGGUAAAGGAGAAAAAGAUAGCUUUUAUUGCUUUGCCAGGCAGGGCAGGCCACAACGAGCUGAGGCCUUAUAGGCUGUGCCCUCCUUUGGGAGAGCACAGGAGGUGGUCUUAGAGUUUGGGGGCGGAAGAUAGAGCCGCAGAUGAGGAUCAGGGUAGAUGCACGCUUGCGGUCCUCACAGCGGGUGUUUCGUGGCCCCGGGACUGGGUCUGGUGCUCCGCCUCCUUUCUGGAGUGAAGAAUGCUUCAUCAGGUAGUUAACGUCUUUCAUUUGUUGGGGGUUCUGGUUCAGCGGAAGAACUCCAAGAUAUUGUUACGUAUUUUUCUUGAGGGGGGACCAGGACCCGCCCCGAGGCUGCACUCUUGUCUCUUGAUGGCUCCUCCCUGGUCUCUGCAUCCCCUCCCUUCCCAGAUGAGCAACUCUUUGAAGCUGCCCUUUGGAACUCAGGGAAGGUCACGGAGCUGGGAUGGAAAAGAAGGCAAGACUGGCGAAGUCCGGACGGCCCGCUGGUGAGUGGUGUGGAGCUGCUCACUGAGGGGCUCCGAAGUGGCCUGGAAGAUUUCCUGCCGCCCGAGAGUGGAGGAUCCACCGAAGCUGCGUGUGUCACUCUGUGACAGCGUCUGAAACAGAGCGCCCAUGUUAUAGGUGCUCAGUAAAUACGAAUUGAUCGGAUGAGAACUCACAGGUACCCUUGUCAUCUGCUCUGGUCUCUCUCUCUCUAUUCCUUCCUUAGGAAAUAGGGUAGUUCUGGAGCCUCCCAAACAGAGCAGAGGAGAUGACAUAAUAUAUAACAUAAAUAUAUACAAAAUGUCGUAUAUAUAAUACAAAGAACAAUCUUAUGUAAGAUGAUGUGACAGUUAUGUUUUGUAAAUUUUUCCAUAUGUAUUUAAGCUUUUUGUAUCCUAUAAAAUUCCAGAUUCACACAUAUUUAAUUUAAACAUUAGAAUUCAUUUCCUUGUUCUUCUUUGCCCAGAAAGGAAUUUUAAAUUAUUUUGCUCUAUACCAGAACAAGCUAAUUUAGAAAAACACAGUGGAGGGAUUUCCUGUUGUGGCUCAGCGGGUUAAGAACCUGACACAGUGUCCCUGAGGACACAGGUUCGACCCCUGGCCUUGCUCAGUGGGCUAAGGAUCCAGCAUUGUCACAAGCUGUGGCAUAGGUCACAGAUGCAGCUUGGAUUCAACCCCUAGCUUGGGAACUUCUAUAUGCCACAGAUGUGGCCCUAAAAAGAAAAAGAAAAA
rnacentral:lncRNA from 1 species